GGAUCCCAGCUGGUGCUGCUUUGAUUGUAAUGCCAAGGACAGAGUCUUGUCAUUCAGAAGCAGUGUGGUGAAUCAGUGCUUGCAGACACAGGGCACAUACAAAAUGCCAUUCGUAGGAACAAGUGUAGCUCCUUUGCUGAAGAAGUUUCCAGGGCAGAGGCCAAUGACUUUGCCAUCCAUUCAUCCUCAAGGAGAAGGGCUUGCUUGACUGAGGCAAGGUGUAAACUACUCAGUGUCACCUGUUAUAAGCACAAGGAAACCAGGAGCUGGACUCUGAAGACAGACAUGGUUCCACUACACUUUACUCUAAGGCCCUUGGGAAGCGUGGCCUAGGUGGUCUCUCCACUUUGUAGCCCUGCACAGAGGAUCACAUGAGCUAACAUUCGCGAGUGCCUUUGUAGAGUGAAUGCCUAGUGGCCAAGGAGAUGUGUUCACCCAGAACUUGAGCCACCAUCCCUUCUAGACCACACGCCAGAUACCUGAGCCCCAGAGUUCCCACUCAGUGAGGAAGCCGUCCUUCCUGGGCUUGUGCAGAACCUAUUCCCC